rnacentral:rRNA from 1 species
AUACGGAGGGUGCAAGCGUUAUCCGGAAUCAUUGGGUUUAAAGGGUCCGUAGGCGGGCUAAUAAGUCAGGGGUGAAAUCCCACAGCUUAACUGUGGAACUGCCCUUGAUACUGUUGGUCUUGAGUUACAGUGAAGUGGUUAGAAUGUGUAGUGUAGCGGUGAAAUGCAUAGAGAUUACACAGAAUACCGAUUGCGAAGGCAGAUCACUAACUGUAUACUGACGCUAAUGGACGAAAGCGUGGGGAGCGAACAGGAUUAGAACCCCUAGUAGUCC